GCUAAAGCCAUCCAUAACCACUGUUCGAAGCUCAACGCCCCAACUAAAGACAUUGACAUUGAAGAAACACUAAACUACUUUUUCAAGGUGAUGGAAAACGACCCAGGAUUUUUCUUUAAAUGCAAGACAGAUGCGGAAGGCAGGAUAGAAAACUUGUUUUGGAUGGAUGGUGUAGCACGGAAAGCAUACGCGGAGGCUUAUCAUGAUUGCGUGUCAUUUGAUGCAACUUAUCUCACGAACAUGUACAAUAUGUCGUUUGCCCCUUCAUUGGCAUCAACAAACAUGGGCAGUCAAUUAUGCUUGGGUGUGGAUUUGUCCGGCAGGAACUAG
rnacentral:rRNA from 1 species